rnacentral:rRNA from 1 species
CGCUACACAUGCAGUCGAACGGUAGCACAGAGAGCUUGCUCUCGGGUGACGAGUGGCGGACGGGUGAGUAAUGUCUGGGAAACUGCCUGAUGGAGGGGGAUAACUACUGGAAACGGUAGCUAAUACCGCAUAAYGUCGCAAGACCAAAGAGGGGGACCUUCGGGCCUCUUGCCAUCGGAUGUGCCCAGAUGGGAUUAGCUAGUAGGUGGGGUAAUGGCUCACCUAGGCGACGAUCCCUAGCUGGUCUGAGAGGAUGACCAGCCACACUGGAACUGAGACACGGUCCAGACUCCUACGGGAGGCAGCAGUGGGGAAUAUUGCACAAUGGGCGCAAGCCUGAUGCAGCCAUGCCGCGUGUAUGAAGAAGGCCUUCGGGUUGUAAAGUACUUUCAGCGAGGAGGAAGGYRUUGMGGUUAAUAACCKCAGYRAUUGACGUUACUCGCAGAAGAAGCACCGGCUAACUCCGUGCCAGCAGCCGCGGUAAUACGGAGGGUGCAAGC